AGAUCUCACAACUGAUGGAAGCUGGGACGGAAAGUUGCUGAAAUGUGGACUCGUCUCAGCUGGUCUCAUCUGGUCUGCCCCAGCAUUUAGGCAGCAUCUUGAAGGCCUGACUGGUCUCCUCAGCUCAGUGGUCUCGUCUCUGUCUCCUGCCCUGCAAGAGUCUGGCAGAGUUUAGUGCCAAGAGUGUGUGUGUGUGUGUGUGUGUGUGUGUGUGUGUGUGUGUGUGUGUGUGUGUGUGUG